rnacentral:rRNA from 1 species
AGAGUUUGAUCCUGGCUCAGGAUGAACGCUAGCUACAGGCUUAACACAUGCAAGUCGAGGGGAAACGACAUCGAAAGCUUGCUUUUGAUGGUCGUCGACCGGCGCACGGGUGAGUAACGCGUAUCCAACCUGCCCAUCACUUGGGGAUAACCUUGCGAAAGUAAGACUAAUACCCAAUGAUAUCUCUAGAAGACAUCUGAAAGAGAUUAAAGAUUUAUCGGUGAUGGAUGGGGAUGCGUCUGAUUAGCUUGUUGGCGGGGUAACGGCCCACCAAGGCAACGAUCAGUAGGGGUUCUGAGAGGAAGGUCCCCCANAUUGGAACUGAGACACGGUCCAAACUCAUACGGGAGGCAGCA